rnacentral:misc_RNA from 1 species
GUAGGUGAACCUGCGGAGGGAUCAUUACACAAAUAUGAAGCCGGACUGGGAUAGGGCCUCGCUGCCUUGCCCGUCUGGCGCCAUAUUCACCCAUGUCUUUUUGCGUACUACUUGUUUCCUUGGCGGGUCCGCCCGCCAAUUGGACCUUAUUCAAACCUUUUUUUCAGUUGCAAUCAGCGUCAGCAAAACAAAUGUAAUCAAUUACAACUUUCAACAACGGAUCUCUUGGUUCUG